rnacentral:lncRNA from 1 species
AGUAAUAAUGCUAAAACAAUCCUAUUUUAUUGCUCUUUAUGUCAUCCAUUUUCUAUUUAUUUUUUAGGAUAUCCUUGAAGAUUAGUCAGAGAGCCUCUUAUGUGCCUCUAAAGGGAAAAACUUAAAGUGGAUAUGAGAAGUGAAGAAAGUGAUCAUAGGAGAAAAUCAUCUCAGGUGUCUGACGAUUUGUGAACCCCAGAUAACUAUUCUGUGGAGCCAUCUUUCCUUGCCUUUGAAUUAGCUUUCCCUAGGCCAAGAAUCAACAUCAAUAUUUUAUACAGCCAAAUUGAGUGUGCUCUAGUGAGGUCUGCCAAGUGUACUGAUGAAAAUCACCCAAAUGUAUACAUGAGACAAAGAGAUGAUGUAAUAAUGGAAAUGCUCUUCCUACUUUGGAAGAAAAGAAGCUCAACUUGUAUGUUCUCUCUAGUUCAUUCCCUUCCAUUCACUUUUGUGACAUAUUUUAAAAUCAAUGUAACAAAGUAAUUCUGAAAGUAAAUUGCUGACAAAUAAUAUGACUGUGUUGUUAAAAAUGAUUUUAAAAAUGAUACCUAUCUUAUCUC